AACGAACGCUGGCGGCAUGCCUAACACAUGCAAGUCGAACGAGACCUCCGUGUCUAGUUGCGCUCGUGUGCGUAACGCGUGGGAACCUUCCCGUAGGUUCCGAAUAAUUCCCUUUCAGGGGUGCUAAUGCCGGAUAAUGUCUUCGCACCAAAGAUUUAUCGCCGUUGGAUGGGCCGGUGAUGGUCUAGCUGGUUGGGAGGGUAUAAGCCGACCAAGGCGUCGAUAGCUAGCUGGUCAGAGACGAAGAUCAGCCACACUGGGAGUGAGACACGGCCCAGACUCGUGCGGGAGGCAGGAGUGGGGAAUAUUGCAGAAUGGGCGAAAGCCUGAUCCAGCAAUGCCGCGUGAGUGAUGAAGGCGUGAGGGUAGUAAAGCUCUUUUACACGGGAUGAUAAUGACAGUACCGGGAGAAUAAGCUCCGGCUAACUCCGUG
rnacentral:rRNA from 1 species